GUGGAGUUUCCACAGGCCACACGCGCAGCGGUUGGCUGCACAGAUUUGACAGUUCUGACAGAAAUGUCAACAAACAAGCAGGCUCCGAUCAACCCGGAAAAAGGAAGUGCAAGAGCCUAAAAAUAGUUGUUUCGGUGUGCAUUCCUGGGAAUUCGACUUCAAAUACAACUGAUAGCAACGAUUGGUGAAAUCGUUUUGAUAACUGCAGUAAAAGAGAGUUACUCAUAAAUCAUUGCAAUCCCUACAGGUGAGAUGCUGCUCACGUUAACUGGAUAGUUUACGUCGUCGAGCCGCGCGCCACUCCUGGGCUGAAGAAGAGCUGGCGAGAUAACUCUUUGUUUAAUGCCUGGGUUGCAGCCAGAUCUUAUCUGUCCCUGUGUCCCCUCUGAAAUGACCUGACACUGAGUGUUCACCACAAUCAUAAGACAAUGGCGAGAAUAGCAUGGUAUCAAGAGAAGAUCGGUGCAUAUGAUCAGCAGGUUUGGGAGAAGUCUCUGGAACAGGCUGAACUUAAUGGCAUGGACUGUAAACCAAAGAGGUCCGGUCAUGUCAAGCCAGACCUCAUUGAUGUUGAUUUAGUAAGAGGGUCUACAUUCGGCAAGGCCAAGCCCGAUAGUCCAUGGACGGCGUUGACCCGUAAGGGCCUGGUCAGGGUGCUCCUCUUCCCCUUCUUCUUCCAGUGGUGGAUCCAGGUGACCUCCAGGUCCAUCUCUACCUGUAUCCUGUUGCUCUACUUCAUGCAAGUGGCAGCAGCAAUGUUGUACGUGGAGGUUCCUGCAGCCAGUGCUAGUGAGCAGUUGGGGCCUAUGUGUCUUAUGUUAUUGCUGGGGACAGUGCACUGCCAGAUAGUGUCCACAGAGUCCAACCGGAGCCCUUCAGUCAGUCCUGUCAGCAGCAGCAGCACCAGCCCUGCACGCAGGAGGAGGCUAAGGAAGGGUAAAGGAUUAAAGAGGACAGAGGGACAGGGGAACGACAGUGACACUGAGCUGCAGCUUUGGCAGCUGGAGGAAAACCAAAGGUUGUACAGAUCAGAGGAGAGAAGGACAAAUCAGAGAAAGUCAGGCUUUGGGGCCUCUGAUGAGCUUUCCAGUGAGGAGGAAGAGGAUGAUAAGGAAGCAAAACCACCCACUAGUGUAGCUGGACCAACACCUACCACUGUCCUCAGGAAGAGACACCUUCACUCCUUCUCAAAUCCCUCACCACCUGAGGAGGAAAGUAGUGGAGGUGCCAAGGACACUAAGGUGAACCCUCGUGAAGUGGAGCACCUGAGGAUCGAGGGCUCGCGCCCGGCUUCUGACACAGAUGAUACUAUGUGGGAGGAUCUUCUUCAAGGGCCUGACUCCGCUUCCACUGGCAGCAGUGAGGGGGAGGGGCGGUACUGCCCUGGCCUGACUCUUCCCCCUUCCACCACUCUCAGCAGUGAUGAUGAGAACCUACAGCAGGGCCAACUAUCGUGGCUGCAGGCGUGCCACCCAUCCAGAGACCGGGUCAGUGCCAUCAUCUGGGAGCAGGGGGAGUGCAAGAAAGCAGACAUGUCAGUACUGGAGAUCAGUGGGAUCAUCCUCACACGGGUGAAGGUGGUGGAGCAGGGCAUGGGUUACCUAGCCCUGGGGGGGUUGGUCACUGCCACACUGGUGCUGCUUCCCUUUGGCUUCCGCCUGGCACAGCGGCUGGACAUGACACGCCUGAGUUCCCUGUCUCUGGCUGAGCUGGCUGUCAUGGCGGUGGGGCCACCCGACGCCAAGACCUACGCCUUCCUCUUCAUCACCACUGUGGAGAGGCUCUGCCUUACAGGCCUCUUCUUCUUCAUGAUGUGUGUGGCAGAGAGGACCUACAAACAGAGGCUUGUUUUCGCCAAACUCUUCAACCACAUCACAUCAGCACGAAAGGCCAAAAAGUCGGAAAUCCCCCACUUCAGGCUGAAGAAUGUGCAGAACAUUAAGAUGUGGCUGUCGCUCCGCUCCUUCCUCAAGAGACGUGGGCCCCAGCGUUCUGUUGAUGUCAUCGUCUCCUCCAUAUUCCUCCUGGCCCUUUCUAUCGCCUUCAUCUUGUGUACACAGCUCCUAAACAGUCACCACACAUUCCUGGACUCUGAGACCAACUGGGAGCUCAUGGUGUGGGGUUCUUCUCUCAUCCUCUUCCUGCUCCGCCUGGCCACCCUGGGCUCCGAGACCAACUGUAAAUACAGCAACGUGUCAGUGCUGCUUACCGAACAGAUCAACUUGUAUCUUAAGAUGGAAAAGAAGCCCAACAAGAAAGAAAAUUUGAACAUAGUGAACAAUGUUCUGAAGCUUGCAACAAAACUAAUGAAAGUAAGGAUGUCUCUCAACUUCAACCCAUCAUGACUUUUUUGACUUUAGUCAAAUCUACUGGGCUGAGAGGCCUCCCGAGUAACACAGCGGUCUAAGGAACUGCAUCGCAGUGCUAGCUGCGUUACUACAGAUCCAGGUUUGAUACCGGGCUGUAUCACAGCCGGCCGCAACUGGGAGAUCCAUGAGGCGACGCAUAAUUGGCCCAGCGUCGUCCGGGUUUGGGGAGGGUUUGGCCGGCCAGGAUGUCCUCCCAGACGCAUGCACAGUGACACGGUCGCCAGGUGUACGGUCACCAGGUGUUUCCUCCGACACAUUGGUGUGGCUGGCUUCCGGGUUAAGCGACAUUGUGUCAAGAAGCAGUGCGGCUUGACGGGGUUGUGUUUCGGAGGACGCACGGCACUCCACCUUCACCUCUCCCGAGUCCGUACGGAAGUUUCAGCGAUGGGACAAGACUGAGCUUGACACCCCCUUCCGACUGCUGGGGCUGACUGUGAACCCUCUCAUCUAUAACAUCACACGCGUGGUCAUCUUGUCUGCAGUCUCCGCUGUGGUCAGCGACCUGCUCGGUUUCAACAUCAGACUGUGGAAGAUUAAGCCUUAAUGUGAACUUGCUAAACCACUAACUGUUGGAUACUGGAGACUCUGCCAACUCCUACCAUCCACAGCUGGCAAUCUGUGCAAAGUGUGCAAACCUACUGAGUGAUCGCCUAUGCAUCUCUGUGCCUUCCCAGAAACAUUGAACUUUAAAUUACACAAUACCAUUGUGGUCAUACACAAGCAUGAGCUCUUUACAAUCAAUGAUACACACAUCCCUGGCUACGGAAUCAUUGUAGCCUGAACUGAUCUGCUGUAGCAGUUCCAGUUCCAGUGCCAAGACCUGGACCUGGCCACUUCCUGGUUCUUACUCUGAGAAACAGUAGCCAAUGGGUGCCUUCUGAACACUGAGAAAUAUGUUGACCAUUUGAAUGUGAACCAUUUCAAGACGUGGAGAAAGGAUGGAAUAGGAAACAAGAAUGAACAAACUGUUAUGAAAGAAUUUGACAUUCCAGCGUCGUUUGACAUGUACUCGGUCGGCUGUUAGACAGCGUAAAAUACUUUUAAGAUGAAAAAUGUUAAUACAGAUCUUCAAAAUUGGUUACUGAACUAAAUUGAUUAAUUGCUUUGUUUUAUAGGAAAUAUUUAACUCUACUCUAAACCAAUUUUGUGAUAUUUUAAGGGCAACGUGCUGUAGCUUUUAUUGGGGCUUUAUUUAUUUGGGGUUUGUCAUUAUUUCAUUUCAUUACUGACAUAAUAGUACACAUAGAUUGUAACAUUUGGACCGCCAUAAUGACCUUAAUACUGAAGACCAUUAUGUUCUGCUAAGCAACUAUUCACAGAUAGUGUAGUUUGAUAAAAACAAAUGUUAAUAGGCUAUAAAUUAGGUUACGUUUUAUUUCCUUUGAUAAUAAAUAUUUUAUUAUUUUACAAUUAUUUUAUUACUGCUGUCUGGUCAGUGCACAUAAUUUUCUCACUUCCACUGCCUACAUAAGUACAUUACAUAACUGUGUAUAUUAAGUAAAAAAUACUUUAAAGAACUACAGACUUACUAAACAUACAUGAUUCGUUUGUAAAUUAUGUCUGAAUGUUGAAGUGUGCCCCUGGCUGUCCAUAAAUUAAAAAAGUGCAGUCCGGUU